rnacentral:rRNA from 1 species
UACGGAGGGUGCAAGCGUUAUCCGGAAUUACUGGGUUUAAAGGGUGCGUAGGCGGCAACGUAAGUCAGAAGUGAAAUCUCUCGGCUUAACUGAGGAACUGCUUUUGAUACUGUGUAGCUUGAAUAAGGUUGAGGUCAGCGGAAUGUGGCAUGUAGCGGUGAAAUGCUUAGAUAUGCCAUAGAACACCAAUUGCGAAGGCAGCUGGCUAGACCUGUAUUGACGCUGAGGCACGAAAGCGUGGGGAGCGAACAGG